rnacentral:tRNA from 1 species
UUAAAUGAAGCUAAUUUAGCAUGUUACUGUUAAUAACAAGAUAGGAAAUAAUUCCCAUUUAAA